GGGGGCAUAGCUCAAGUAGAGUGCAUGCUUAGCAUAUAUGAGGUUCUGGGUUCAAUCCCUAGUACCUCCU
rnacentral:tRNA from 1 species